CCCUGCGCUGUCCACUUCUGUAGUUCUGUCCGCCUUUAACAGUAGAAUAUGAUAACUUUUGAUGCUCUUCUCGUACUCCUGCUCACGGUAAAAAGCAAGCUGCACCUGUGAAACACAGUGGCGGCGCCGCGGCGGCGGAAGCAGACGUCACGUAACCUCCCAAACCAUAGUCUCCGGCGAACGUUGCCGGUCGGGAAAUCGCCGGAAUGCUAGCAAUGUUUAGAACCACCCUGAAAUUCUAUAUCGCCGGUUUGUUCUUCAUAAUUUCGAAAAAUUUAUAUGUGAUCGGAAAGUGUUUGGAAAGCGGGACCAUGUUCAUGGAGAUAGUCUGCUCCUUCUGGAGUUCUGGUUGGUCCCUUUUGCCUUUCUUCACUUUAUUGGCCUAACUUAUAUAGUUAUAUCUUUACUGGUUAAGUUUUUGCUCUGCAAAUGGCACUCUGGAGUUCAUGUGCUUAAAGUUUAGGACUUUUCUUAGGAAAAAGUAUCAAAUAGGCUACUAAACUUAUUGCAUUUGUGUAAUUGGGUCAUUGAACUUAAAAAGUAUGCAAUUGAGAUAUUUGUUGGAUUUCUCUUAAUGCAAUUUGAGUUGAAAACAUUUCAAUCUUUCCACACAACUAGUAUGGAAGAUGAAAGGGCGACUCAUAAUACAUAUCAUGUAAGCAAUAUGAUCGGAUUCUAAUGCAAAAAAAAAAAAAAAAAAAAAAAAAAAAGGAAAAAUGCCCCAAUUGCAUAUAGUUUCCUUUUUUGAUGGUUUGUUGCACACUUUUUAAGUUCAAUGAUCUUAAGACCUAUUUGACAUUUUUUUCCUUUUCUUAAGGUCUCUACUUAGUGGAUUUCAUCUUUUUCAUGGCAUCUGAGCUUUAGCAACUGCAAUCGGUUAAGGGCACUGGUGUUUUCUUGUGAUUCUAAUUGAACUUUUUUUAGUUUUAGCAGGAGAGUAAUGGGAUUUAAUGCUUAGGUUUAAGAUGGAAUACCUAUCAUUAGCUGUUUGAUUUGAGCUUGGGAUUGUAUUAGGACUGGCUUUUUGCAAGAAGGAUUUAUCUUCAAUCAAACAUCGAUAUUACAACACUUUAAUCUCUAUCCCAAAGGGAUCGACUUUGUUUUGCAUUAACGAGCAGGAUGUUUCUUUAGUUUAAAUAAGUUUAAAACAUUUAUUGUGGCUUAUUGUUUUAGGAUAGUCUGACAUCAGCCUUCCUUUAUUGGUUUCUUCAACAUUGUUCGUUUGCAAAGGAGGGAAGGGGUGCAAAUCGUAGAAUAGACCUCCGAGUGUGUAAAUAAGGUUUGUUUUGAAACAUUUUUAGGCUAAGGUAAUAGAACCGAUUAGUUCAUUUUGGAAGGACAUUGAAGAGGGUCAAAGUAUGAAGCUCUAGUUGAAUGUCUCCCAUGGUUAAAAUGUUAAAUGAACUGGUUUUAGGUCCUCGUAUAUCUUUUGGAAUUAUUACUCUAUGUUAGUCUGUAACUAAACAACUUUCAGAUGAAAACUCUUCUAGCUAGGCAUUUGGUCAUUUGAUAAAUAAAAGAAGUGUCAAACAAAUUUUUAAUUCAUAUGCAACUUUCUGUCUUUCUUGGUUGAAGACUUGAAGUCUCACAUAAGAUCAAUCUGGUUGUCAUGCUCAGACCGAGAAUUGCGUUUGUCAAAUACAUAUCUUUAUGUGUGACUACCUCGUGUCUUGUUUUUGCCUCACCCGAACAUGUUGAUUGUAAAAUGUUCUGUUUAAAACGGUCUUCGAUCACCCAAUCCGUGUCAAAUGUCAAACACCCUCAAUAUCCCUUUCGUCUUUACUUUGCGUUUUGGUCUCCUCUAAGCUUCUGAGCAUCAUAACUUCAUAAGGUAAUGGCCAUCUGCAAGUCGGUAACAGUCUGUUUUUGUCCAAAAAGAGUGCCUGAAAGACGUUAGGAUCGGAUUUAAAGAUUUUCUCCAUAUCAAUACGAGGAAAUUUUUCUCUUUUAGUAGCUGUAGAGUACAAUGCAGUACAGAGUGUGGGAACCUUUAAGACGAGGAAUUUCGCCUUUUGUGAGCGAAAUCACGUCCAGAUUGAAUUAGUAGCUACAGGACAAGUGUUAAUGAUACAUAUUAUAAUUCAAAACUGUACAUAUAAUUAUACUUGGUACAAAAGAAACCAGUGUCGAUUGGCAUAGUAGAAAUUACUAAUAUUUUUUUUAGACUUGAAAGUCCUCCACUCAAUUUGCCCAAACAUUGUAGUUGAGUCUGAGAAUGAACAGUUGGGACUUGGGAGAGAAUGCCCAGAAUGAAUGAAUGAAUAUAAAGAGAAUUAAAAGGUGGCAUGAAGUGACAAUGGAGUUUUGGGACCCACAAAUACUCUCCUUCAAAUGAUCUAGAAGAUUCAUGUGUUUACCUGGCAGCUGACAACAAGAGGCAAAGCAAUUGAGCAGCCAUGUUCAUUCACACCAUAUAAUAAAAGACAAUGGAGGCUUCCUCUCCCAGGGACCACCUUAACAUCAAUGGGCCCACUCAACAAUGCCAUUUAUAGUGAUGCAAUUACUUUUUUACAUGAUUUAUAAAAACAAAACUUAAUUUA